rnacentral:rRNA from 1 species
UACAGAGGGUGCAAGCGUUGUUCGGAAUUAUUGGGCGUAAAGCGCGUGUAGGCGGCUUUGCAAGUCGGGUGUGAAAGCCCUCGGCUCAACCGAGGAAGUGCGCCCGAAACUGCAGAGCUUGAGUACCGGAGAGGAUGGCGGAAUUCCCCAAGUAGAGGUGAAAUUCGUAGAUAUGGGGAGGAACACCGGUGGCGAAGGCGGCCAUCUGGACGGAGUACUGACGCUGAGACGCGAAAGCGUGGGGAGCAAACAGGG